ensembl:lncRNA
GACGACUCCUGGGGCCUGGCUGAGGCUGAGGUGGUGUGUUGGCAGCUGGGCUGUGGCCCUGCCCUGGACGCCCCAGGAGAGGCUGCAUUUGGCCCAGGAAAUGGAAGCAUCUGGCUGGAUGAGGUACAGUGCAGGGGCGGGGAGUCCUCCCUGUGGGCCUGUGCCAGGGCGCCCUGGGGACAGAAUGACUGCAAGCAUGAUGAGGAUGUGGGCGUGAGGUGCUCAGGAUGAGUGAGAAGAAUGUUUCCCCACAAGAGGAAGAUGGUGCCAGGUGUCCUCAGGGAGGCAUCUCUCUUCACUCUUCUAGAGAAGCUUCCAACACCAGUACUUCCAACACCAGUAGAAGAAAAGGGGUCCCCAUUGGUGUUGGGACAAGAAGAUGCUGGGUAUGAUGAUAUUGUACUUAGCCCCAUGGAGUGUCAAUUUUUGAAGUAAUCAAGACUGCAGGG